rnacentral:lncRNA from 1 species
CAGAGGUUGAGGCUUUGCCGGAGGUGGAAGAAAUACAAACCAGUUCAUCUUCCCAGAGCAAGAUUUGCCUCAAGGGCGCCUGCUUGUCACAGCUCAGAUUGCCUGAGUCAGGGCAAUCUUUGGAAUCCUGCUGGGGCAGGGCAGCUGUGGGGGAACAGAAGAGGUUAGGUGUGUUUCUGGUGUGGGAGCUAAGGAGGUGGACACAGAAUGCUUCCCACGCAGCAGCUAGUUGCCCAGCAGUCUUGACCACAGUCUUCUCUCCCUUGCCAGACUGCCUCCAGGAGACAGAUGAAUAGCACCCUUUCGUGAUGACCAUACUUGAAGAAAUCAAUGAUCAUGGUUACCUUCAGAUUGAACAGAUCUCAUGGGCUUUCCACCGCAUGCCAGAUAUGGGACUCAGCACUGCCUUAGAGCUGUCUUGUUCAGACUACAUUUUCUUAAGAAUUCCCAGAAAAGCUCCGGUAUCGCCCUCAUGGAGCCCUCUCACCGGUCAAGGGCUGUGCCUUGGCUCCCAUCAUCCUCGGUGGCUCUGGCCUGCACUGCACAGAGACAGACAUACAUGCACAGGAGAGGUGAGGGGAGACUCUGGUGACCUGGUUGUAGCCCUCAUUUUAAAAUGAAGAAAUUGGGGUUCCCCAGAAGAUGAGAGACUUGUCAGACUCACACUGCAAAUGAGAGUUGGCAUUUAAGCCUCAGGUUUGAGAAUGUUGCUUGCAUGUUUUUCUGGCUUUAUGUAGACAAUGUGGGACUUUCCAGGGGGCAGGGUGGGAAAUGGGCCACCUGCUGUGUUAUCCCUGUCUUUCCUCAGUCUUCCACCCAAGUCCUUAAAGCCCCUACACCCCAGCUAUUUUCUGUAGUUUGCCUGACUUUAUCCUCCAUCAGGACUCCCUCCUGAGGGC